rnacentral:rRNA from 1 species
UUACUCCUACGGGAGGCAGCAGUGGGGAAUCUUAGACAAUGGGGGCAACCCUGAUCUAGCCAUGCCGCGUGAGUGAUGAAGGCCCUAGGGUUGUAAAGCUCUUUCAGCUGGGAAGAUAAUGACGGUACCAGCAGAAGAAGCCCCGGCUAACUCCGUGCCAGCAGCCGCGGUAAUAA